GGACUACUAGGGUAUCUAAUCCUGUUUGAUCCCCACGCUUUCGUGCCUCAGUGUCAAUGACCGUGUAGUGAGCUGCCUUCGCAAUCGGUGUUCUAUGUCAUAUCUAAGCAUUUCACCGCUACAUGACAUAUUCCGCUCACCUCCAAGGUAUUCAAGACAGAUAGUAUCAAUGGCAGUUCCCAAGUUAAGCUCGGGGAUUUCACCACUGACUUACCUGCCCACCUACGCACCCUUUAAACCCAGUGAAUCCGGAUAACGCUUGCACCCUCCGUAUUACCGCGGCUGCUGGCAC
rnacentral:misc_RNA from 1 species